CCAACCAACAAGUUUUGGCUAUAGUUCCCAACCAACAUUUCUAGCUCUUGGAUCUACUUUUUGAUUAUUAAUAGCUCUUGAAUUAAACACUAUUCUACCUAGCUAUUACCAUCUACCACCACCUACCAUCAGCAUCCCAAUCCUGCAUUUCUCCAUCAAAUGGCAAAAAACUCAAAAGUACCACCCUCUUGGUGCUUUUGAGAGUAUUCUAGCUCAUCUCUCUCUCUCUCUCUCUCUCUCUAUAUGUAUAUAAAACUCAUGUAAC
rnacentral:lncRNA from 1 species